rnacentral:rRNA from 1 species
UGGGGAAUAUUGCACAAUGGGCGAAAGCCUGAUGCAGCAACGCCGCGUGAGUGAUGAAGGUCUUCGGAUUGUAAAGCUCUGUCUUUUGGGACGAUAAUGACGGUACCAAAGGAGGAAGCCACGGCUAACUACGUGCCAGCAGCCGCGGUAAUACGUAGGUGGCGAGCGUUGUCCGGAUUUACUGGGCGUAAAGGGUGCGUAGGCGGAUGUUUAAGUGAGAUGUG